CUCUAUUUUAAGACUGUCCUCUUGUUGUGGUAGUUUUUCUUCUUUUAAAUAUGAGGUGCUGAGCAGUGAUAAUAGCCCUUCCCCUUCCAGUAACUAGACAACACAUAGUUCUGGGAGUACAACUGAUUUUAAUCAGGCAAACUCUGCCUUUUAUGCACAGACCCCAGCAGUGGGUCUCCAUUGUAUUUAGCACAAUCACCUCCCAAGAAUCUCUGGGCCUGAGAGAUAAUUGCGUUAAAGUUAAUUAUCUCCCAGGAACAGAGAGAAAAACACAAAAAUAUAAAACAUAA